rnacentral:lncRNA from 1 species
AGCCAAGAGAUCACCAAAGAAAUUAGUAUGUACUGAAAAGAAGGCCAAAGUGAAACUCCAUUAACUCCAACAUGGACAAGCGGAAAAAUUAACAAAGGAACAAUUAGGAGGAAUCAAUUAGCCUUAUUACUCUGAGGACAGUACGUGGUUUGGUAAAGAGUUUAACAAAGUCAAUAUUUCUUCUGGUUGUUGGACUAUGGAGAAUUUUCCACUGAUUCACAUUACAAUUAAGUUUGAUCUUCCACGACUGUCUACACCAGGUGGUAUAAUAGUCUGAGAAUAAUUCUUGGAGAUGGACUCAACUGUAAGCCAUCAAUGGACAACACUCCCA